AAAUAUUCAUAUUGUUAUACCCCUAAACGUCAGUGAUUGUUGGAAGUACUGAUGAGGGCAUUCUAGGACAGAUUGUUUUGGAAAGCCUUCUACUGAGCCGGCACAGCCGAGACUCUUGCCACUGGAAAUUCAGUCUAUUUCUUCUUGUGUCAAUUCCUUACAGCCUGUCCAUGUCUAUAAAACAAAUAUUUCCAUGUAUUUGUCCAUUUCUGGGUCAUUACGGAGUUUGAUUAGCCGCUAAACUUCAACGGAGAAAAUGGGGACAUUGCAGCAUUAUGAUUUGUUUUGAGGAAACAAAAGAGAAAGUAAGAUUCUGUCUAUGUGGGAACGCCACAUCAGAUCUCAGGAGAUUGUGGAUCCCAGGAACCUGAAAGAGUCCAAACUGUGACACUGUGCUGUUCAGAAUGGCAGACUCCUCGCUAUCCUGUAUGAGACCGAUCCGACGGUGGUGUCAUCUGCAUCCUUGGGCCUUGUUAACACUGCACACCAAAUAUUAUUUUUUUGGCCUUAAGUGACACGGAUCAAAUAUUUUUAGCCAGUCUAAAUGCUCCAAAGUGUUUCAAAUCGGAUCUUUUCACAUCAGCUUUUAGCCACAUCAGGAGGUAGUCGGAAUCCAGUUGGAAUCUGAUCUUUUCAAAUGUGACUGCAGCAAAAUUAUACACACAUAUAUAUAUAUAUAUAUAUAUAUACACACAUACACACACAUAUAUAUAUAUAUAUAUAUAUAUAUAUAUAUAUACACACACACACACAUAUAUACACACACACACACACACAUACAUACAUAUACAUAUCAUUAUCCAUGCGUUUGCUAGGUCUCGUCUCGAUUACUGUAACGUAUUAUUUUUGGGUCUCCCCAUGUCUAGCAUUAAAAUAUUACAGUUGGAGCAAAAUGCGGCUGCUAGACUUUUGACAAGAACAAGAAAGUUUGAUCAUAUUACGCCUAUACUGGCUCACCUACACUGGCUUCCUGUGCACUUAAGAUGUGACUUUAAGGUUUUACUACUUACAUAUAAAAUACUGUAAUGUCACUAUUGCUGAAAAAAUAGUACAGUAGCAAUAGGAGAGACUAUUCAUCCCUGAACACCAUGGAGUUCAAGUGAAAUAACAGAGACAGGGCUUUGCUGCCCCAAACAAGCACGCACCAAAAUGAGCUAACGUUACGCUAAAAGCUAAUUAUUCUUCACCUCAAGCCAGGACUGCGAGCGAGCUGAGCUGCAGUUUAAGUUUCUAGAAGGUCAACGGGCUUAUAGUGAUGUUAGUAGUAGUUGACUGGGAGGUGUUUUUUUAUAAUUUGGGGAGAGUAUGCUGCCUUAUGCUCACCUGCUAAAUACCUAUCUGCUCGACACUGAAGCAUUUACUACAUGCGCUCUGAAUAAGCACUGCUGAUUGGCUGUUACCGCUCUGAAUAUGCACUGCUGAUUGGCUGUUAUCGCUUUGUAUGUAACCAAUCAGAUGGUUGUGUGGGUGGGACAAUGCUGGGUGCUUGGACAGAGGCAGAAGUAGCAAAGCAGCUUGUUAGGACUUUAGCUUUGAAACUCGUUCGGUACACCCCCAUACCGAACCGAAACCCCAGUACCGAAACGGUUCAAUACAAAUACACGUACAGUUACACCCCUAAUAUAUAUAUAUAUAUAUAUAUAUACGCUCGCACAAACACACACACACACACACACACGUGUAUAUAUGCACAUACUUGGCCAGGCCACAGGUGUAUAAAAUCAAGCACUUAGGCAUGAAGACUGUUUCUACAAACAUUUGUGAAAGAAUGGAUCGGUCUAAGGAGCUCGGUGAUUAACAGCGUGAAACUGUCAUAGGAUGCAAACUAAAUACUGCCAAACUAUAUAUCUGUUUUUUUUACUCUUUAAUAACAUCAACUUGUCAGCUUUUUGUCAUUACAUGAUGCCUUUAUCUCUAUUUUUACAUUUUGACAGACAGAGUUUUUAUUCAUUUAUUUGUUUUAAGUUAUGUACAUUUAUAUGCAGAAGCUGUAUCGGGACAGAUCCAUUAUGAGUUUGAGCAGAAAUAUGUCGUAUAGGAAUUAACUACACACAAUAAAACAUUAACAAAAUUAUGUGUCACAUGAAUGAUUGUUUUAAGUAACAACUUAUUGUAAAAAACAUGGUGUUUACACUUUGAUAUCAAAAUAAAAAACAAAGCAGUUUGGCUAAUGAAAAUAUAGUCAAAUAAACAAGCUUUGUCCUUCUCCAACGCCUCCCUAGUGUUUCAGUCCAACAGUUUGGCUAGAUAAAAAACCUGGAGUGAUCCCUCUAACAUCGAAUAAACAAUCUUCACAGUCUGCGUUCAAUUCGAUGAGAUGACAAAACAUUUAACCAGUAUUGAUGUUAUUUGAACACUGAUACAGUUUGUAGUUAAAUAAAGGACGAGUGAGCAUCCCAGUAAACAAAGUAAAGACUUUAUAAACAAGUUGUGACAACGUUCACAACACAU